UAGAUGAGCCUAUAUUAGAUUAGCUAGUUGGUGGAGUAAUAGCCUACCAAGGCAAUGAUCUAUAGCUGAUCUGAGAGGAUGAUCAGCCACACUGGAACUGAGAUACGGUCCAGACUCCUACGGGAGGCAGCAGUGGGGAAUAUUGGACAAUGGGCGAAAGCCUGAUCCAGCCAUGCCGCAUGAGUGAAGAAGGCCUUUGGGUUGUAAAGCUCUUUUAGUGAGGAAGAUAAUGACGGUACUCACAGAAGAAGUCCUGGCUAACUCCGUGCCAGCAGCCGCGGUAAUACGGAGAGGGCUAGCGUUAUUCGGAAUUAUUGGGCGUAAAGGGCGCGUAGGCUGAUUAAUAAGUUAAAAGUGAAAUCCCGAGGCUUAACCUUGGAAUUGCUUUUAAAACUAUUAAUCUAGAGAUUGAAAGAGGAUAGAGGAAUUCCUGAUGUAGAGGUAAAAUUCGUAAAUAUUAGGAGGAACACCAGUGGCGAAGGCGUCUAUCUGGUUCAAAUCUGACGCUGAAGCGCGAAGGCGUGGGGAGCAAACAGGAUUAGAUACCCUGGUAGUCCACGCUGUAAACGAUGAAUGUUAAAUAUGGGAAG
rnacentral:rRNA from 1 species